GCGCGGUUGGUCCAGCGGUAGGACAACUGCCUCCCACGCAGUUAGCCCGGGUUCAAUUCCCGGACCGCGCA
rfam:Natrialba asiatica DSM 12278 contig_35, whole genome shotgun sequence.